ACAGCAGCCGCAGGAGCAAUCGCGCCGUACGCGGGUCUCUAGAUCUAGUUGUUGAGGCGUUCGAACAUUCCGAGAGCAGUUGAAUUCGAGUCGUCGUGGAAAACGGUUCUGAAACCAUACAGCACAGUUGUUGUCUUAUCCUCCACCCCCCACGGGCCAGGUAAAGCGUUCGCGAAAAAUUGUAAUCCACCACAGUGUUGUGUUUUUCCGCUCCCGUGUGUGCGGCAUUUUAUUAGCGUGUUUUUCUACACCACCACCGUGUUGAGUGUGCGUUUUGCGUGAAGAGCGCGCGCGCGUGUGUAUUGUGUGUAAGUGUGCGUUAGUGUUGGUGGUGUAUUGGGCGCUUUGCUCCCAAACCCCUUUCCCUGUGCAUAACGUCGCGAUAGUGCGUACGAUUGACCUUCUCUUUCUCACUCUCUCUCUCUCCCCCUUCUCUCUGUCUCUCUCUCACAUCCCAGUACGUUUGUGUGCGUAUCGCGUCGUCAGCGUAACAGCAACAGCAAAAAAGCCGCGCUGCAUCUUCGCGAAGCAAGAAGCAGCCCGUGAAGGAAGCGAAGAAACGAACCCGUCGUCAUCAACCGACCGACCGUUUAGCGAGCGGAGAGCGUACGGAGAGCGUGUGAACGCGUUCGGGUUUUUUUUUGUGUGCGGUGUGUGCGCGCGCGUCUUUUGGAGUGUGCGUUCGCGAGCGGCGAGAGCAGGAGAGCGAGCACGGCAAGCGCAGAGAGCGUGCGAGAGCGAGAGCACGAUCGGUCGGGGAAUUUGGUCGCUCAGCAGAGCAGAGGCAGCAGCCGCAGCAGCAGUAAAUUGUAAGCCGCAGUAGUUAGCAGUUGUCGCCGAGUUCGCAGCCAGCGUCGCCACACGGAAGAGCCGCAGCAGCAGCAAGAGUGUGCAAAAGCAACCAAGCAGCAGCAGCAGCACCAGCCUGUCUAUUGUCAGCUAGUUUUUCGUGCAGCGAAAACCAACCCAGACACCAAGCCACCACCCUUUUUUUAGCAGCAAAGAUGGCCGAUCAACUUACGGAAGAACAGAUCGCUGAAUUCAAAGAAGCGUUCUCGCUGUUCGACAAGGACGGCGAUGGCACAAUCACGACCAAGGAAUUAGGCACCGUUAUGCGAUCGCUAGGUCAGAACCCCACAGAAGCAGAACUGCAAGACAUGAUCAACGAGGUCGACGCGGACGGUAACGGCACGAUCGAUUUCCCCGAGUUUCUAACAAUGAUGGCUCGCAAAAUGAAGGACACGGACAGUGAAGAGGAAAUCCGGGAGGCGUUCCGAGUCUUCGACAAGGAUGGCAACGGUUUUAUUUCGGCAGCCGAGCUGCGCCACGUCAUGACUAAUCUGGGCGAGAAGCUAACAGACGAGGAGGUCGAUGAGAUGAUCCGUGAAGCCGAUAUAGAUGGCGAUGGCCAGGUUAAUUAUGAAGAAUUCGUAACAAUGAUGACAUCGAAGUGAGCUACAGGUCGAUACAUUGCGCCUUUCUAUUUGUUUAUUAAGAAGACUGUAGCCACGCGCAACAACAGCUGCGCAACGCUAUCGAUUUGGAUUUAAAAACCGGGGAAGAAGCAAAUGAAGGAGAGAUACAGCGUGGGAUAAUAUUGUGGAGUGUGGAGACAAGCAAAGAUGAUGAUGAUGAUGAUGCAAAUGAAAAGGAAGGAACAAAAAGGAGUAAACAGCAAAGCAAAGCAAAAGAGUACAGCAGCAAGUAAAGCUAAACGAGAUAAACAUUAAAUUAAACUUCAAAAAGCAUAACACAGAGAAAAAUACCAAACAAGAGCAAGAAACAAACAACAGCAAGUAAACUCUCAUGAUGGCAUCAGUGAUGAAGCACAUCAGCUUGAUGAAGAACAUCUACAAAAAUUAAGCAAAGAAAAGAAAAAAAUACUACAGCAACAGCAAACAACAGCAGCUCUUUUAACAACUAUAACCGAAACGAAGAAGCAACAGCAACAACAGGCCAUAACUAUCCAACAAAACGACAACAGCUUCAUCACCACCACCACCACUACCACCAUCACAAGAGACACAACAACACACAUCUCUCGCUCCCACGCAGAUGAAAGAAAGAGAAGAAAACAGAAAAACAAGUGUGUCGCCAUUGCUAACGUGUGUAAAGCAACAAGCACUAAGUUUUGUGGCAGCAGCAGCAGCAGCAGCAGUAGCAGCGGCAACAGCAGCAGAAACAGCAGUAGCAGCAGCAACAGCAACAGCGCGCAGGCAGCAGCUUAUCUUUCUCAUCCUGAACAUCGCGCAGAGAACCUGGGCCGAUUGAUAUCCUCUUUAUGGCAUGGAGCGCGCAAACCUAAUUACAUCUUGCGCAGCGCGGUAGUGUUUUUUGGCAGUUUGCUUGCAAAUGGGAAUUAAAGUAUAAGAAGCUCGGUGAAGGCAAGAAGCUGUAGGCAAACAAAUCAUCGUUACGAUUUGCAAUAUUAUCCAUUCACAAUGAUAACAACGAGUCUCACACACACACACACUGCUCUACAGGUGCAAGAAGAGUUAAGCGAGGCAACGCGCAGCUUAAAAGCACGUGGAAGAUGUCAGUUAACACCGGGUUUAAAAGCACGGCAAGAUAAAUACUGUGUCCGGGUGCAGCACAAUUGGAUUGCAGCUAAACCGAACAGUGUAAUCGUAGAACAGCAAACAAGAGAGAUAGUAAAUGCAGUAAAAACAACAAACAAAAAAACAUUAUUGAUAAAAAUAAGAGCUUUUCACUAAGAACUACUACUACUACUACCAAGGCAGUGUGUAAGAGAGAGAGAGAGAGGGAAGGCUAGCGCGAGAAGAGAAUGUAUUUAAAAGAAACUGUUUAUGAACAAAACAACACACACGUACAUAAGUGCAACACGAACAAAUACAAUCACAAACACACGUACACACAUGAAACGGUAGGAAGAUAGGUUCGAAUGCCGUACGAACGGAUCUUCGGACAGGGGUAAAACGAAGACGAAAAAAAAUCCAAAUGAAAGAUCAUUUCUUCCCUUUCUUCCUUUCUUUCCUUUCGUCGUCGUUGUCGUCGUCGUUGUCGCGUUUGUUAGCGUUGAGGUAAAAUAUUUGAAAUGCAAAUAAAAGCAACACACACACACAAACAGAAGAAACCCUUACGAAUAAAAAAGCAAAUAACACAAACUGAUAAAACAGCUAAAACAAAAGCAAAAACAAACAACAACUAAGCACACACACAUACACGAACAUGCACACACACACACACAUUGGGAAGCAGUCAAGAAGGGAGGUAUUUGAUAAUAGCAGAAGACACAAAGAUAUAAAGGAAUACACACACAGAGAAAAGCAAAUAGCUGGGCGAAAGCGAAAGCGGCAGCGGGCACAUAUUUGUAAGAAUUGUUGUGUUUGGUAAUUAUUGCACGAAUAGCAAAGGCAAAGCCUGCAGAGCCAGCAGCGGCAGCAGCAGCAGCAGCAGCAGAAACAGCAGCCGCAGCGAGCAAAAGUGUGUGAAAGCAAAGGAGAAAAGCACUAUCCCCGAGGUUUAAACAAAAAAAAAAAACAAACAAGCAAAAGCAAGUUAAUAAAGAAGAGAAAAACAAUACACUAAUAGAUAAUACACAGAAGAAGAAAGCAAACAAGCGAACAAAGCAGAGAGAUAACGAAGAUAUAUUAAAAUAAAUAUAUAUACCUUAUAUAUAUACACACACACAGCAAAACAAACAAACUCAAGCAACACAACAAAGAAGAACACCCAACAAAAACCAGACCCCAUUUUGACUCAGUAAUUCCCACCAUCAUCGCUACCACACACACACACACCACAAGGCGUGUAACUCCACCAACAUCACCCCCCCACACACCCACCAUCGUGCGUGAGUGUGCGUGUUUGUGUAUGUGUGCGUAUGCAUUAGUGUGUGUGUGUGCGCACACGCAUCCUUGUGCGUAAGUGCUUGAGCGCGCGUCCGAGCACACCACCACGUGUUGGUGAUGAUUAGAAGGCGGAAGUGGAAGCAUUUCACACACACACAAUCACACAGUCACACAGAAAACCGGAAACAAUUGGAGGGAACGGAAAGGAACGGAUGCGGCUGGAUUGGAAUGGUAUAUCCCGCCCGGGAUCAGCUGGAAAGGGAAUGCGCCGAUGGAAUGUGAGCCCGGUGUGGGGGUAGGCAGGGAAAAGGAUGCUUGGCGUGUGUUGUUGGCCAGAGGAAGGACGGUCAAUGUGCGCGUGUGUGUGUGUGUGUUGAAACGAAUGGACGAGAUGAGUAACAAUAUAAUAAUUAAUAAACAGCUGAAGAGCACUCUCUACUACUA